rnacentral:misc_RNA from 1 species
GGAAUCUCAAUUACAGUGCAUUGACAAAAUAGCCCUUCUGAUUUGCAGUUGCAAUUUAAAUCCUGGCAAGUGACAGGACACUGAAAGUAGUUGAUCUUAUGCUAUGGACCAAAGCGUACGAUUUACAGCUGCAAACUCCCACAAUAACAGUUUUGAUGAUAAACUUGCAAUUUCAGGUUAAAAAAAAAAAGACAAAAGCUUCAGAUACAUGGAUAGAAAUUACAAAGGACCUCUAUUGAAGGGUCAAAUCCAAAUACAAUGCCCAUUUCAUUUAGAUUUGUUAUGAAGACGAAGAGCAGCAAGCAUAACCAGCAAGAUAAAAGCUAUUGAACCAAGCAAAGAGAGGACAAUGGCAACUGCUACUUGAUCGCAGAAUUUCCCAAACACGUUGCACGCUUUGCCCCAUCUCAACCGUGAAUUCCCUUCGUAACCCAUAAGUCCAAUAGCUCCCGUUGCUCCGAUGCCGGAAAAUAGCAAAGGCACCAUCAAUAGGUCAAGAAUUAAGGUAACAAGCACCAAACUUUUCUUUCUGUUAAAUGAAAGUAGUAGAGAGAGUGCUGCAUAUGUGCAUGCUAUGGCAUUUGAUACCACAAAGAACACAAAGGCAGACAGAUAAUGCCACUUAGCAACAACAGGAAUAUUUAAAGGUGGCAAGGAAUCCACAAUCUUAAUUGGAAUAACUUUGUUCUGCUUAUCAACCCCAAGAACUAUUGCAGCAACUAAAGUUAGAAGCAAAGCCAUAACUCUUAGUAGAAAGAAACUGGUCCCCCCUCCUCCUUCCUUUGCCUCUUUGUCCUUUACACCAUCCAUGCCUCCAUGACUGACGUAGUUUUGGCUAUCCAUGAUCACAGAAACCCAAAAAACCAAGUCUUGAGAACAGAGAGAGAGAGAGAGGGGUAUGGAAGAGAUGGAGGAAUAGAGAGUUGAGAGAAAAGGAGUGGCCUUAAAUAGAGAGGCAAGAACAAUGUUCAAGCAAGAAAAUGUGAAAGGUAAUUAAAUUUUUCUUGCUAUGACUAUAAUAAAUUGCGUCAAAACUCUGAAACUUUUAAAGCAAAGGAGGCGAGCAGUGUGAAUGAUGUUGAGAGAAAGGCAUUGAAGUUUGAUGUUGCGUGAUAAUAAUACAAAAGCCAUCCAUUUUUCUGAGGCACUUGCCACUUGCCAAGAGCAGAAAUGCG